CGUGCUCGUCUCCCAUUCCCCUCUCCUCUCGCCCGCAUCGACGCCCGCUCGAUCUCCACCUGGUCCGUCUCGUCGGCGGCGAGUUGCUGGUGGGAAACCCCUGCAGGGUUAUGCUGGUCGGUUGGGGUAGUGGGGGAGGUCCGUCGACGGCAUGGGCGAAUGGAUCGACGCUACCGAGGUGGGGACAGACGGGGUGAGAUGGGUCCUUCGCCGUCGCGGCCCUGCGAAUCGACGCGUCCGAGGCGGCGGCGGGGUAGCAGGGGUCGCUGAACGAGAUGCACCUGCUCAGCCUCGCGAAUCGACGCGGCCGAGGUUGUUGGACGUGCUUCAAGGUGUCCCUAACAGAGUUUCAGCGGGGUGGUUCUGCCCAACUAGACUGCUACGGACGGCUCGAGUAGGACAGGCAUAAAGAUGGCUGGAUGGCUCAGCUGUGAGACAGCCAUAGACUGCAUCGUCUUCAGAAGCACCUCGCCGUCCUGCGAUUUUUUCUGCCAUCAGAACUUGCCGUGGCUAUCUUAGGUGUUGCAGAGACUGGAUACGUGCUCAUGGUGCAGUUCAUAAAAAACUCGGCUUUCUACUUCACUGCGCACUCAUGUCGCCUGCAAUUGGAGUGAGCAUAACCUGAAGGAUCUCAUACAUGUCAGUUGUGAGUGGUGGUACAAAGUUUGGAUCUCACGAACUUUGUGAAAUACAAGAUGAUCUUUUGUUUAUUGCUUUCACAGUAAACCAUUUUAUACAUCCUGGAUCUUUUUUCCUGCUCCAGAGCGUAUAUCAUAUCAGUUCUUCCUACUUUGUGAUGGCUCUACUAUGAGAUCUGGCUAGCUUUGUUGCCAUCCCUGGAUCGUUUUGUUACAUCUA